UGAGAUCUAUAUAUUCAAAAACGUCGUUACAAAGUUUGAAAUAAUGAAAUUGCAUUCCGGAUCGCUAAGUUUCUAGCUUUUUUUUUUUUUUGAGAAUGAUUAAUUCAUUAAAGGCAAUGCCCAGCAAAGAGCCCAGUAAAGCAGGCACCAGCAAAAUACAAAUAGAUCAGAUAGGACACUUCCACUAAAACCUGGGGAGAUAGCAAACGGUAGUGCCUAAUAACAGAAAGAAAUCAUCUAAUUCGCUGCAUAACUAAUCAGUCGUCGGCGGGGGACAGGGCAAGCCAUCAUUGCGCAGUACAGAAACCAUGGAAAGAGGUGGCUCUUCAGCCCAUCGCAGAGGAUCCUCAGUCCGCCUGGCAAGCAUAGCUGCAUGGUGAGCAGCUUGAUUUGUCGAUCUUGGUGUCCAGUUCCAAGUACAUCGAUCAAACAUCAGACUUCGUCUUCUUAUUGUCUCCAAUGCUGGGUAAGUCCUCCAGCUUCUCACAGAUGAAUUCAAAAGUUCUGAGAUUAAUUGUUUGGAAUCUGAUUCAACAAUAAUCUGUUUCAGGUUCAAAGAAAUUGCUAGCUCCACUCCUCUAAGGAUGGCCUCGGCUUCGGCGCCUUCAACGGAAGGGAUGACUGCAGCUUCAGCCAAACCUCCGAUUACCCUUCCGCUGUUUCUAGCUAGUUAUACUAAACAAAUUGAUAUGUGAAUGAGUGUGUAUUAGAUAGUCUCAAUCGUACAAAGCUAUGCUAUAAUAUACAAGUUCUAGAAGCUAUUCUAGGUAAGGAAUAAAUACAAAUAAACCAGAUCCUACAUUCACUCCUAUAAUCACAAUAGUGAUUAUCUAUCUAUCAAUCACGCCAGCAACGAAUCAGGAAUAUAUCAGCAACAUAUUUUCUUCCUUUAACACUCCCCCUCAAGUUGGAGUGUGUAUGUCAAUAACACCCAACUUGCUAAGAUGCAUGUGAAAAAUUGGUGCUCGCAAGGGCUUUGUGAAUAAAUCUGCAAUCUGUUCUCCAGUUUGCACAUAUGCUGGUUUGAUUUCACCUUUUUGAAUCCUCUCACGAACUGUAUGACAAUCAAGUUCUAUAUGCUUCGUACGUUCAUGAUAAACCGAGUUUGCAGCGAUAUGUAGAGCCGCUUGGUUGUCACAAAACAGCCUUGCUGGUGCCGAAUGUGGUACACGCAAAUCCUUCAACAGGUACCUCAGCCAAGUUAGUUCACAUGUAACUGAGGCCAUUGAACAAUAUUCAGCUUUAGUAGAGGACCUUGACACCGUGACUUGUUUUUACUUUUCCAUGACACAAGUGAUCCACCAAGGAAAAUACAAUACCCGGUGACUGACCGGCGUGUAACAGGACACCUUGCCCAAUCAGCAUCACAAUAUCCAAUCAAAUGCAAUUGGCUGUUGGAAGGAAAUAAUAGACCUUGUCCUGGAGCUGCCUUCAAGUAUUGAAGAAGUCGAAGGGCUGCCUUGAAAUGAUGUAACUUGGGGUCUUGCAUAAAUUGGCUAAGAGUGUUCACAGAGUAUGUGAUAUCCAGCCGGGUGAUGGUGAGAUAAAUUAAUUUCCCAAUCAACCGCCUGUACCGAGUAGGAUCUUUGAGGCUAUCACUCCCUUUUUCUGUCAGUACCAAAUCCGGUUCCAUAGGCACUUUUGCAGGUUUUGCUCCAAGUAAGCCAGCUUCCUCCAAGAUAUCUAAAGUGUACUUUCGCUGACAAACAGAGAUUCCAGCCUUUGAUCGUGCCACCUCAAUGCCAAGGAAGUAUUUGAGAGUUCCAAGAUCUUUGAUUUUAAAACAGCUGUUGAGGAAGACUUUGAGAUCAUUGAUAGCCUUCUCAUUGUUCCCUGUUAUGACCAUAUCAUCAACAUACAACAACACCACAGUGAUGAAAUCUCCACGAACCUGUGUGAAUAAAGAAUAAUCAGCUCGGGAUUGUUGAAAACCAAGUUCUUGGAUAGCUGAAGAAAAACGUUGGAACCAGCUGCGGGACGCUUGUUUCAGUCCGUAAAGUGACUUGUGGAGUCGACAAACUUCAUUCUCCCCCUGUCGACGGUAACCAGGUGGAGGAAGCAUGUAUACUUCCUCAAGGAGUUCACCAUGAAGGAAGGCAUUCUGGACAUCCAUCUGGUGCAAAGGCCAAUUUCGAACCGCAGCCACAGACAGGAGACAACGGACAGUGAUCAGUUUGGCAACCGGAGCAAAAGUGUCUUUAUAAUCGAUUCCCUCACGUUGAGUGUAACCUUUGGCAACAAGACGAGCUUUGUAGCGCUCGAUUGAACCAUCAGCAUGAUAUUUGAUCUUGAAAACCCAUUUGCAUCCAAUGGGUCGCUGACCAGGAGGAAGGGGAACCAUGGACCAUGUGUUAUUAUCUUCAAGUGCCCGAAUCUCAGAAUUCAUUGCUUCGACCCACUGAGGAUCAUGACUGGCCUGUGUAUAAUUCGCUGGCUCCACCAACUUAGAUAUAUUAUGCACAAAAGAGCAGUAAGCACCAGACAACCCAGAAUAAAAGACAUACCUUUGCAACGGAUAGCAGGUGCCGGACGUGGAGGAAGAGGCGUCAGGGCCGAGCAGAGCAGCAUGGUGAGUCUUGUAGUCACGAAGAUAAGAAGGGGGAUGGUGGGAGCGAGUAGAACGACGAACAGGGGCAGUCGGUUGGGGUGACGGGGGCUGAACUGGGGACGGUGGCGGUGGUGAUGACUGAGGGAAAGGUGAUGGCAGAGACGAAGGUGAGGGCGGAGGGGAAGAGACAUGGGGAAAAGGAGAGGAAGGCUGUGGUGGCACCGGAUCUGCCAACGGUGAAAGGGCGGCGUCGGGUGGCGGGGACUACGCCGUAGAAGUUGGGUCCGGUGACGAGGAGGAGGUGGGUGCAGGCGGGGUCGGGUUAGGGAGAGAAGUUAGGAGGGGAGGAUUGGGGUUGAUAGAUGAGGGAGAAGAUGAUGACGAAGUGGAGCUAGGAGCUAGGAGGGAUCUCCCGUGCUCUCCAGCAGAUGAGGGAGAAGAUGAUGAAGAAGUGGGCUGAAAUGAUUGGGCCAAGGAUUGGGCUGGGUCAACAACAGGUAAAACAGGAAAGUCUUCUUGAUCCUCAAGAGGAAAUCUGGUGAAGGGAAAUAUAUGUUCAUGGAAUGUGACAUCUCUGGAUGUAAAAAACUUUUUGGUGUCAAGAUCAUAUAAUCGAUAGCCUGUUUGGCCACUGGGGUAUCCAAUAAAAAUGCAACGACAUGCACGGGUAUCAAAUUUAUGAGUGGGAGUGAGGUUGGUAGCAUAACAUAAAGAACCAAAAGUGCGGAGGUGAGAAUAGCUUGGUGGUGUAUUAUGUAAGAGUUCAUAUGGAGAUUUGUGAGAAAGUAAAGGAGUGGGAAGGCGAUUCAUGAGAUAGCAAGCGGUUUGAAUACUUUCACCCCAAAAUUGUAGCGGUAAAUUGGCUUGAAAUCGAAGAGCUCGGGCCACAUUCAAAAGAUGGCGAUGUUUGCGCUCUACUACCCUAUUUUGUUGAGGUGUAUAUACGCAGGUGUGUUGGAAAAUGGUACCAUGUUCUGCGAAAAAUGCACGCAAGGAUGUGAACUCACCCCCAUUGUCAGCACGCAAAAUUUUGAUGUCACGAUGAAAUUGCGUUUUGACCCAUGAGAAGAAUGAUUUCAAUAAAGGUUGAGUAUUGGAUUUGAAGCUCAUAAGAUGUACCCAAGUGAAACGAGUGAAAUUAUCAACGAUGGUUAAGAAAUAACGAGCCCCAGAAUGUGUGUGAGUUUUGUGCGGUCCCCAAAUGUCACAAUGAAUUAAAUCAAAAGGUGCAACUGUUUUUAUUGAACUGGAAGGAAAAGACAACCGAGUUUGUUUUGCUAAGGGACAAAUGUCACAAAUGUGGUGAGGAUUAAACAUAAUUUCUGGAAUAACUUUAGAGAGAUGAUGGAGAGGUGCGGUAGAUGGAUGCCCAAGACGUUGGUGCCAUAGGUUGGAGGUGCGGGAGAUAGUGAUUGGCAAGGNNNNNNNNNNNNNNNNNNNNNNNNNNNNNNNNNNNNNNNNNNNNNNNNNNAUGACGACGGAGGAGAGCUUCGUCGUGUGCUUUUAGUAUAUGUUCUCUCUAAGCUCGCUUUGGUAACGGCAUCAAUCUCUCGGUGGAGGACGACGUGUUCGCCGGAGAGAGUGAUUCGUCGGAGAGAGAGAAAUAGAAGAGAGAGAGAGAGUGAGGGAGAUGAGUUGAGAGUGAGUGAGAGAGAGAGAUGAAUAAUGGUUAAUAUGUUAUUAUUUUUGUUAGUGGCAUGACAUGUAAUUUUUUUAAAAUUUAUGGGCAACGGUUUAAAGAAUUUAAAUGGGUGUAUUGUUUUAUCAUCAAGGAACAUUUGUUAACAGAUUUAUCAUUGGUUACUUCUAAAGGUACCAUUUUAUCAUUGGCCCUUUAUUAAACUACAUUUUUGGUAUAGGUUAUAGAUUUGAUUUUGAAUUUGAUAAGAGGGAAGCGACAUAACGAUAAUUUAACCAUAAGUGGUAUAUGUAUAAAGAUCUAAUUUUUGUGUGUUUAAUCAUAAGAAAAGAAAUAAGAAAAUAUCACUUAUGGUUUAACUAUAGAGCAUCUCCAGCAGUAUUGCUAAAUCAAUUUUUUUUUGAAAUUUGUCAACUUUUGGGAUGAAUAAGGGCUCCAGCAGAAUGUCAAAAAAAUUGCUAAAUCCUAACAUUGGUAAACUAAAUUGGCAAAUUUAUCAAUCUAGACAUAAAUUGCUAAAGAGAAACAUAUGUUUUCCCUCCAUUUUUUAUCCACGUGUAAGUUUAUGAUUCGUUAAAAAUAUUAUUUAACUUACACUUAGCAAUUACUGCUGUAGCACAAUUGCUAUUUCAAUUGUUAAAUAUUCUAACUAUUGUUAAAUUUAGCAACAAACUUACCUAUACUACUGGAGAUGCUCUUCAUAGACUCGAAGUUAAUUCUUUCCCUUCAAUUAGCCUGUUUGGUAACGUUUUCAAAAAACUAUUUUCAAAAAAUAAUUUUAGAAAUAAAAAUGAGAAAAUGAGAUUGUAUUUUCUACUUUGAAAAUGUAUUCGAUAAUUUAUUGUGAAAAAUAUUUUUCAUAAUUUAUAAACUAAGAAGUGAAAACGUCAAAUUGAUGUUUCCAGUUUUUAUUUGUAAAAGUUGAAAAUAUUUUCAUUUCUCAUUUUCAGCGUUUUUAGAAUUGUCUUACCAAACACAUUUUCAUCUCAUUUUCAUUUUUAAAAAUGAAAAUACAAGCAUGAAAAGGUUACCGAACGCCACCUAACUUUUUUAUUUUCUAAUCUAGCUUACAAUUUAAAUAAAAGAAAUUUUAAACACACACUCGUUGCUUAAUACACCUCUCAUCUAGUUUUCAUUUUGAUAUUAAACUUAAUACAAAUCCCAAACUGCCUAUAAUAUCCUUAUAUAUAAAAUUAAGAAAUAAUAUGCUAUUUCUUUUCAUCGUCAAAUUAAUAAUAAAAAGACUAUUAUUACACAAACUCUAAAUCUUUGAUGCGACAUCAAUCAUUUGGAAUUCGAACAAAAAUAUCAACAAUUUUAAAUUUUUGGAAUUCAUAAGCUAGUAGAAGUACACUAGGUCACUAGCUAUUAAACAUAUAUGCCUACUAUUUUCAAUACAACAUGUCAAAAUGAACAUGUAGUACUUCAAAAUGGUCUGCAAGAUCAAAAAUAAAACUGAUACAAAAAAGAAAAUUGAAAAAAAAAAAACUGAACCAGAUAGAACCGUAAUGGUAAUUGAACAAUAUAUGUGAUUAUUUGGUAGCAAUCAAAAUUUAGGGUCAAUGCAUUCUAAAAGUUAGGUUUUUUUUUUUUUUUUUUUUUUUUUUUUUUGUUGUCAUGAAACUAUGAAUUGUGGAGAAGAGUCAAGUUCAGGGAAGAAGUAGUUCUUUCGAUGGUUUUAAGGUAGGAGAUGAGACUUCUAAUUGUGAUUUCCUUUUCUUUUUUAAUAAUAGAUGUUUGUCUUGGUCAUUAUACAUGCCUAAAAUAUUUGAUAUGAAAUAUAAAUUAAUACGAGUGUGUAUUAAGAGAUUGAGAGUGCGUAUUUAAAAUUACUCUUUAACUAAUUUUUUCCCUAAAAGAAAAAAAUUUAAGUAAUUUCUUUAAUUCACGGGUCUUAAAAAUAAGGCUAGAGAGAAAGUCAAUAACAUCGUGAAUGUGAUAUAUUGGAAACAAACAUUACCAACCAUAUGAAAUCUAGCCAGCACAAGACCUUCUGUAAUAAUUGACAUGUAAGCAAAAAGGUAAAGAAAUUGACAAAAGCAGAAAUGGAGCCUAAGAGUAUAUGAAAUUAUGGAAUAAUAUUGGUAUACCUCAUUAUGGUUGGAUAUAGCCUAUGUUGCACGGACACGGAUAUGACGACACGACACGGCACGACAUGCCGACACGGCAAAAUGCAAAAACUGAAUAUCUGACACGGUUUGGACACGGCAAAUAAAAAUUAUAUAUUUAUGUAUUUUAAUAAAUAAAAAUAUACUAAUAUUUGAAAUAAGUUUAUUACAUUACCAAAAUAAUAUUAUAAAUUCAAUUCAUUGCAUAACCAUAAGAAAUAACAUUAGAGAGAGUCAAAUGCAAAUGAUAAAAGUGCAUAAUUAAUAAUAUUAAAAACAAGCUUUUAAACUUAAAAACAUAACAUUAAAGAAAAUUAAAUUUGCAGUAAGUUGCUGACAAAACUGGGCAGUAGCUUGCUUUCAAAAGUGGAUAUUAGCUUUAUUUAAGUUUUAGUUCCCUUUCUCUCAUCUUUUUUUUUCAAUUAAAAAAAUUGAUAAAUGAUGAUGUGGCGUGUCGGAGAUGGCGUAGCGAGUCGGUCAAUGUGUCCGAAACGUGUUAGAAAAGUCAAUAUUUUCCGACAUGUAUUUUACCGUGUCAGGUGUGUCCGACACUCCGUGCAACAUAGGAUAUAGCUUAGUAUAUCGUCCAAUUUCAUGUACAUAGAAGAUCUCAUUUGUCAUUUUCUUGGCUGUCCUACCAUAUAACAUUUUCAUAUUCGUAUUAAUAGGGUUUUUGAGACGUCCUCCGGUGAACAAAUUCCAGUAGAUUCUAAAUCAUAAUUGCACAUGGUUUUCACAUGCUUAAUCGUAAUAGUUAACCAUUCAAGUUCCCAGCCCCCUUCCAUUGAGGGAUCCCUAUUUUUGGCCACUUUCUAGGGAUAGGGCAUUACACCACUUCCCAAUUGAAUUUUUACAUCUCCACCGUUCAUAUCUUAAGUCUAUAUGAGUAGAUCACCUCUACAAAAUUUCAUAUGAUUUGAUGAUCGUUAAGACUUUCAAAAGUUUGAUUUAGUUUUAAUGAUUUUGAACGAUCCAGCUUAUGUCAAACUAAAACCGUUGAAGGUCAUUAAAACUAAAUUGAACUUUUGAAAGCCUUAACGAUCACCAAAUCAUAUGAAAUUUUGUAGAGGUGAUUUACUCAUAUAGACCUAAGAUAUGAACAGUGGAGAUGUAAAAUUAUAAUCGGGAAGUUGGUGGAAUGCCUAUCCCUAUAAAUGGCUUAAAAUAGGGAUCUCUCAUUGGAAGGGCCCUGAUAUAUAUAUAUAUAUAUAUAUAUNNNNNNNNNNNNNNNNNNNNNNNNNNNNNNNNNNNNNNNNNNNNNNNNNNAAAGGGCUUUGAGUUUAGUGUAAUAGAUAGAAGCAGAUUGCUGGCCUUGGCGACACUCGGCGAUCUCUUGCCGAAUUUGAUAAAUCCUUGAAUCAUCUCUUUGAGAGAAUAAAUCAUGGAGAUCUCUCCACACCCCAAAUGUCGUAUCUGAGAAGAUCACUCCACGCGCGAUGCUUGGUUGAAUCGAAUGAACGAUCCAUGACAAUACCAUGUCGUUGCAGCACUUCCACAUAGGGAACCUUGGAUCGGUGCGUGGAGGUGGUUUGAUUGUACCAUCAAUCAGUCCUAUCUUGUUCUUGGCGUUGAGGCUAAGGCACAUAGCUCGGCUCCAUUCUCCAUAGUUGUUUCCGUCCAGCAGUGUACUAACCAGUUUGAGCCCUAGUGUAUCAGAUGGGUGUAAGGUCAAAGGGUUGGGUGUGUCAAAAUCAUUCACAUCUUUGUCUUUAGAUGAAGGAAUGAGUUCGGUGUUUUGUGGUUCUGGGGUUUCAAUGACCUCAACCAUGGUGUUUGUGUUUGUUUGUGGCAAAAGUAGUGGGUUGUUUGUAGCGGAAGUAGUGGGUUAGAGACACCAGAAUCGGUGCUCUGAUAACAUAAACAAAUUGAUAUGUGAAUGAGUGUGUAUUAGAUAGUCUCAAUCGUACAAAGUUAUGCUAUAAUAUACAAGUUCCAGAAGCUAUUCUAGGUAAGGAAUAAA
rnacentral:lncRNA from 1 species